rnacentral:tRNA from 1 species
UCCCUGGUGGUCCAGUGGUUAAGAUUCUGCCUUGCAAUGCACAGGACACAGGUUCAAUUCCUGUUUGGGGAA